rnacentral:rRNA from 1 species
CGAACGCUGGCGGCACGCUUAACACAUGCAAGUCGAACGGUAGCAGGCCCUUCGGGGCGCUGACGAGUGGCGAACGGGUGAGUAACACGUGGAAACCUGUCCCGGGGCGGGGGACAACAGUUGGAAACGACUGCUAAUACCGCAUACGCCCUACGGGGGAAAGAUUUAUCACCCCGGGAGGGGUCCGCGUUGGAUUAGCUUGUUGGUGGGGUAAAGGCCCACCAAGGCGACGAUCCAUAGCUGGUCUGAGAGGAUGAUCAGCCACACUGGGACUGAGACACGGCCCAG